CUGGAGGUAUUGUUUGGGUCAGGAAAUAAGGUGGUAGGAUUGUGUCUGAAAUUCAAAUCCCUGCUCGAGUGUAGCGCCAGGUGAGGAUUUAAAUGAAAUUAGUAGCAGAAAUCUGUCAGAAAUGGUUCUGGUUCAGACAGAUUCGUAGGUUCACUGCUCUAUGUGUUUUCACUGUGACAAUGCCAACGAAGCCUACUUUGGAAAAGGAACCAAACUGACAGUUUUAGAACAUGACGUCAAAGAACCCAAAGUCGAAAUACUUGGUCCAUCUCCAAAAGAGUGUCGCAAUGAGAAGGACCAUGAGAAGAAGAAGACCUUACUGUGUGUGGUCUCAGAGUUCUAUCCAGACCACAUCAGUGUGUUCUGGCAGGUGAACGAGAACAAUGUCACCAGUGGUGUAGCGACGGACGAGAUUGCCCAAAGAGAUGGCAAGUUCUACACUAUGUCCAGCAGACUGAGAGUCUCUGCUGAAGACUGGUUCAACCCUGAGAACGAAUUCAAAUGUAUCGUCAUAUUCUUUGAUGGAGAAAACUAUCAACGUAAUGAAAGCACAAUCAAUGGCGAACAAAGUACAGUUGAGUUGAACUAUAGGGACAAAUACUUGAAGGCCACACAGAAGGUCAAACUCUCCUACACGGUCUUCAUCAUCAAGAGCAGCAUCUACGGAGCCUUCGUGGCCUUCCUGGUGUGGAAACUUCAGAGAUCAACUGGAAAAUAGAACCGAAGGAUGAUGAGUUUCGACGGUCGGACUUUGGAUGUGUAAAUAAGAGUUGGGUUGAGGUGUUUAGUUCACUGACAGUUGUGUGUUUGUAGUUGAUUAUUAGCUGUACAAGUUGAUCACAACUCAAAUAUAUCAGAAUACAUAUAGAGAACUCACCACUGAACAGACAGUGGUCAACGAUCAAAGUUGUGGUCCAGUCCGAGUCUGAGUCACAAAAUGAAAAUUUAAAAUCAAGAGUCAAGUUUGAUAACUAGGUUCAGUUCUGGGCCGCAGAUCAAGGAUUCAUUUUAAAGUCACUGAAGGAGCAUUUAGGUGGAGUUAGACCCUAGUCUAGGUCCUGGUCCUGGUCAUCACAUAAUACAUGUUCUAAUGAUUCAGACACCAAGUCUAGUUUCUAUAUCUUCGAGACAUUAAAGGACUCUUGGUCCCAGUGCAAGUCAUUAAAGACAGGUUUGACUUUAGUCUUCCUCAAGUCCUACUGGUUUCAUGUCAGACGUCUGAAAUAUACAAAUGAAAUACAAGACGAGUACAAGUCCAGAUGAUCUAUGGUUUUACAUCACUCCAUACAGAUGACUAUCAACAUUGUUUCAACUGCAGUGGUCGACAUCAGAACAGAUUAGUGAGAAGUGGUAAAACAAACACAUCACCAAAAAAACACCUGUUUUCUGAAAAUACAUAAUUAAAUACAAAGACUGAUUUCUGUGAAAAAGUCCAGUUUCUGUAAGUUAAACAUAUUACUGUCUUUGUUAUAACUGCUUUUUAGACGUGUCUUUGUUUUUCAUGUCAAACGUGUGUCUUUUUAAUGAAGCCUUUCCUACGUAAACAAUAAAGAAAGAAAUAAACUCCA